rnacentral:rRNA from 1 species
UACGAACGGUCCAAACGUUAUUCGGAAUCACUGGGCUUAAAGCGUCCGUAGGCGGCUCGGAAAGUGGGGUGUGAAAUCCCACGGCUCAACCCGUGGAAUUGCGCUCUAAACUAUCGAGCUAGAGGGAGAUGAGAGGUGAGCGGAACUGAUGGUGGAGCGGUGAAAUGCGUUGAUAUCAUCAGGAACACCGGAGGCGAAGGCG